rnacentral:rRNA from 1 species
AGCUCACACAAGCGAACGAUCCUAAGCUGGCUGAAGAUGAUUCAGGCACAUGACUGAGACCGUCCAGGACUUCUUACGGAGCAGCAGUGGGGGAUAUUGGACCAUUGGCGCAAGGCUGAUCGCAGCCAUGCGCGUUGUGUGAAGAAGGCUUCGGUUGUAAAGCACUUUCAGUCAGAGAACAGCGUAAGUGAGUAAUACUCUCGGUAGAUAGUGACAUCUACUGACAGAAGAAGCACGGCUAACUCCGUGCCAGCAGCCGCGGUAAUACGGAGGGUGCAGAGCGUUAAUCGGGAAUUACUGGGCGUAAAGCGCGCGACGUCAGGUCGGUAUAGUCAAGCCGAGAUGGUGAAAGCCCCGGGCUCAACCUUGGGAACGUGCAUCUUGCGAACUGCGUCAGAACUAGAAGUGUGAUAGAAGAAGUGGUAAGAAAUUCUCAGGUGGUAGCGGUGAAAUGGCGUAGAGAUCGUGAAGGAAUACAGAUGGCGAAGGCAGCCUCUUGGGUCAACACUGCCGCUCAUGUAGGAAAGCGUGGGGAGCAACCGGGAUUAGAUACCCCGGUAGUCCACCCGGUAAACGAUGUAUAUUAGAAGCUCGUACCCUCGGUUCUGUUUUUCACAGCUAACGCAUUAAGUAGACCGCCUGGGGAGUACGGCCGCAAGGUUAAAACUCAAAUGAAUUGACGGGGGCCCGCACAAGCGGUGGAGCAUGUGGUUUAAUUCGAUGCAACGCGAAGAACCUUACCUACCCUUGACAUACAGAGAACUUACCAGAGAUGGUUUGGUGCCUUCGGGAACUCUGAUACAGGUGCUGCAUGGCUGUCGUCAGCUCGUGUUGUGAGAUGUUGGGUUAAGUCCCGCAACGAGCGCAACCCCUAUCCUUAGUUGCCAGCAGGUAAUGUUGAGAACUCUAAGGAGACUGCCGGUGAUAAACCGGAGGAAGGUGGGGACGACGUCAAGUCAUCAUGGCCCUUACGGGUAGGGCUACACACGUGCUACAAUGGCGCAUACAGAGUGUUGCGAACCUGCGAAGGUAAGCCAAUCACUUAAAGUGUGUCGCAGUCCGGAUUGGAGUCUGCAACUCGACUCCAUGAAGUCGGAAUCGCUAGUAAUCGCGUAUCAGAAUGACGCGGUGAAUACGUUCCCGGGCCUUGUACACACCGCCCGUCACACCAUGGGAGUGGGCUGCUCCAGAAGUAGAUAGUCUAACCCUCGGGAGG